AUUGAACGCUGGCGGCAGGCCUAACACAUGCAAGUCGAACGAGCGGCGGACGGGUGAGUAAUGUCUGGGAAACUGCCUGAUGGAGGGGGAUAACUACUGGAAACGGUAGCUAAUACCGCAUACCAUCAGAUGUACCCAGAUGGGAUUAGCUUGUGGGUGGGGUAACGGCUCACCAAGGCGACGAUCCCUAGCUGGUCUGAGAGGAUGAACAGCCACACGGGAACUGAGACCCGGCCCAGACUCCUAGGGGAGGCAGCAGUGGGGAAUAUUGCACAAGGGGCGCAAGCCUGAUGAAGCCAUGCCGCGUGUAUGAAGAAGGCCUUCGGGUUGUAAAGUACUUUCAGCGGGGAGGCUUUACCGACACAAGAAGCACCGGCUAACUCCGUGCCAGCAGCCGCGGUAAUAC
rnacentral:rRNA from 1 species